rnacentral:tRNA from 1 species
AAGGAUUUAAGUUAAAUAAACUACCAACCUUCAAAGUUGCCAAUAAGAUCUUCUUAAGCCUUG